CAGCCGCCACGGUAAUACGAAGGGUGCAAGCGUUAAUCGGAAUUACUGGGCGUAAAGCGUGCGUAGGCGGUUUGUUAAGUCUGCUGUGAAAUCCCCGGGCUCAACCUGGGAAUGGCAGUGGAUACUGGCAAGCUAGAGUGUGUCAGAGGAUGGUGGAAUUCCCGGUGUAGCGGUGAAAUGCGUAGAGAUCGGGAGGAACAUCAGUGGCGAAGGCGGCCAUCUGGGACAACACUGACGCUGAGGCACGAAAGCGUGGGGAGCAAACAGGAUUAGAUACCCCCGUAGUCCCUGUCUCUUAUAC
rnacentral:rRNA from 1 species